rnacentral:rRNA from 6 species
UCUUUAAUGGAGAGUUUGAUCCUGGCUCAGGACGAACGCUGGCGGCGUGCCUAAUACAUGC